CCCUCAAGUAUGUGUGUACGUAUGUUAAUACAUAUGUAUGCGCAUAUGUGUGUAAUGUGUGUAUAUUAUGUGUGUAUGUAUGUAUCGUGUAUAUGUAUGUGCAUGUGUAUGUGGAUCCAUCAGUACUUGCAGGAGUUACUGUUUGAUGGCCCAGAGCUUCAGUUACAGACGAGUGAACAGUCUGAGGGUGAGGGUGAGUGGUGCUGGUCACAGUGGUGUGGGCGUGCUCUGCCGUAGAGCUGUAUACACAAGGAUGUGUAUACGGUGGCUCCAGUUCAUUGACUCUGCUGUUCUUUUUGCAGUGUACUAAA
rnacentral:lncRNA from 1 species